ensembl:lncRNA
UAUCAAUCUAGGUGAUUUCUGUAUGGGUAAGGAGAGGAAUAAUUUUUCCAUCAUCUUUCAAAAACAAAUAACGUAAUAAUACAGAAGUAACUCACUCGCCCCGUGUGUCAGACACAGCGCUUCGGUAAAGCCGCAUCUUUUCUCCAAAAGUCACCGUUAAUUCUCCUCAUAACGGUAAACAGAUCAUCACGUUCCCGCGCGCUCUCCGAAGAAAUAAACCUCGCGCGCCGCCCGAUCUCUGACUGACGUUAGUGUUUACGUAAUGACGUGUUUAAGAAACACAUUCAUAUUCCAGAUAAUAACACUACAGUAAUAUAAACUACUGACACUCUUGUUUUUGAAUGAUAUUAGUAUUAUUAUUUUUUCAAAACAACCUCAAAACAAAGCGCAAAUUAAAUGCGCGCUGUUCCAAAAAAAAAAAAAAAAAAAAAAAGAAAAAGAAAAAAAAAAGCGCGCGAGCGGCUCGAGUGUGACGUCACAGCGCCGCGGCUAUAUAAAGCCCUGCUCAGGAUUCUAACGGCAGACGCGGAUCUGGUUGAGCGAGUGUUUCGAUCACUGACCUGAACUCUUCAGAUUCACGAGAUUUACACACACAGUCUUUUCAGACUAUUCACAGUUUACACACAUUGUGUCAUCAGUAUAAUCAGAGGAUGUCUACAACAGCUGAGCGCAGAGAAUCUGAGCGUGUGCCUGUGGCUCGAGCGGCCUGGGCUUCGAGAGAAUCGAGCUUCGAGAGAAUCGAUCUGAACGAAGAAAUGAAGCACCGCUCAGCAGACAAAGGGAAGAAGGUGAAAGCGGUGCGUGUCUUCCUCCAGAAGCUGUGUCCAGACAGAGUGCUGCGUCUCUCAGCACAGACGGACGCUCAUCUGGACCACCCCGAGGUGACGGCUGUCCCGGGUCCCUCGGCCGCUCCGGAGCUGCUGUGUCUGCCGGGUCAGGUGUGUGAAGAUCCGGAGAUCAGAGAGCCAACGCUUCGUCCGGAUCCAUCCGCUCUCAGCCUCGCUCACAAUGUGAGGAAGAGGAGAGCAGUGUGUGUGUUCUUCCGGAGAGCGUGUGAGUGUGUGAAGCAGCUCUUCCCCUGCUGUGACCCGGACAGAGUCCAGCCUCCUAAAGCAGAGCCGGACCUGGACCGACCCCAGCUCGUUCUGCCGGAGCAGGAGCUCCAGUCGUCUCCUGAGGAAGAAGCUCCCUCCGAGAUCCAGCCCCACGAUGCAGUGUCCGGUCCAGUGUCCGGUCCAGUGUCCGGUCCAGUGGUCAGUCCAGUGUCCAGUUCGGUGUCGAUCGGGUCAGAAACAGCACCGGACACAGUGUUGCCUGAUCCAGAAAUCCAGCUGCCUCAAGGAUCCAUCGUGUCUUUGUUUGAAGUGGGACAUCUGAUCGCGUCCGGGAACUUCAGCAAGGUCUACGAGGGGACACACAUAUUCAGCGACAAAGUGAAGGUUGCUCUGAAGUGUGUCCCCAAGCGCAGAGCGGACCGCUACCUCGACAUUGUAAGCUGGCUAAACCUGAAGAAUAUUUGGUGUUUGAUAACCUGUAGCUGAAGACGGUUGUUGUGUUGGUCUCUUCUCAGCCUGGUCACUCCAGACCGGUGCUUGCUGAAGUGGCUCUGAUGCUGCGGCUGGGAGAAGCUCCCUCGUGCCCCAACAUCACGGAGCUACACCAGUGGCUGGAGGACGAGAGCAGCUUCACUCUCAUCAUGGAGUACCCUGAACCCUGCAGGACCUUGGAGGAUUACGUCUUGUUCUCCGGCCCCGUUAGUGAAGCACAAGCACGCUUGUUCAUGCUUCAGGUGCUUCAAGCAGUCAAACACUGCCAUGAGCGUGGAGUUUAUCACGGUGAUAUCCGCUCGAGGAACAUCCUGGUGACUCUCCACAGUCUGGAGCUCAAGCUCAUCGACUUCCGCUGCGCUCGUCUGAUCAGCAGCGAGGGCUUUGACAGCAGCCAGUACCAGGGAUCAGACGCAUACACCCCUCCUGAGGUCCUCGGCCAGUCCAUCUUCCACGCCGCAGCAGCAGACGUCUGGGCGCUGGCAGUCCUGCUCUUCGAGAUCAUUCACAGAUAUCUGCCCUUCGAAAGCUUUGAUGCCAUUCAGCACGGCUACGUCCGGAUGGAUCCCACCUUAUCCACAGCGUGCCAUGACCUGAUUUUCCACUGCUUGAGCCGAAAUCCAGCUCACCGGCUGACGCUCCAGCAGCUGGAAGAGCACCGCUGGAUGAAGGCCUAGACUGGAGAAGACAGGGAUCCCGAUGUGCACCAGACAGAGUUUACUGUCUCCAGGAGUCUCAGGAGAUGCAGCGAGACUCUGGACUCGUCUCUGAUCGAUCAAACACAGAGAAACACAAGAACGUGCUGUCUGGAGAAAUCAGGAAGAUCAGAAGAAAUUCUACAAUUACAAAAUCAGAAGUGCAUGUAAACACAAUGCUCUUAAUUAGUGCUUCACAAAUUAUUAACGUAAGGAAUAUAAAAAAACUACUUUUAUAUAAUAUUUUAGAAAGUAAAUGUAUUCACUAAUUGGUUGCUUAGUCACAUUAAUGUAAAAAAAAGGAAAAAAAAAAGGAAAAGAAGCUAUUUUUAAAUAAUAUUUCAGGAAGUAAAUCCUUUUUUUAUAAUAUUUCAGAAAGUAAAUGUAGUCAUUAAUUGGUUUAUUAGUAACAUUCACAUAAGAAAUGUAAAAAAAAGCUAUUUUUUUAAUAAUAUUUCAAAAAGUAAAUGCUAUUUUUUAUAAUAUUUGAUCAAGUAAAUUCUAUUUUUGUAUCAUAUUUCAGAAAGUAAAUGCUAUUUUUUUAUAAUAUUUAAGUAAAUAUAGUCACUAAUAGGUGCUUUAUUAGUGACAUUAACGUAAGAAAUGUAAAAAAAAAACUAUUUUUUAAUAAUAUUUCAGAAAUUAAAUGCUAUUUUUUU